rnacentral:ncRNA from 2 species
AGUCACUGAAGAGGUGCCGAGCCUAACAGUAACCGAGGUCAGACAGUGUGGUGUCGACGACCCUCGGCGAAAGGAGGCUCGGCCGAAGCGGCCCGGUCCUACACGACCGGCUCGCUGGGUCCGGGUUGAAGAAGCCCGGGACUGUCGCAGCUUGAUGCUGCGGAGCGCUAUGGACCUU